UGUUGUCAAAGCGCAGCACGCGAUCUCGUUGCAAACUGGACAAGUAUUUCCUGUUUUUUCUCAUUCAUGAUGUUAGUUGGGACAGAGGAUAUUCAAUUUUGACACAACUGUUUUCCUGAAGAAUUAAAUUGUGAAAACAUUGCACCGUCGCACGUUGUCAAUCUAAUUAUCUAUUGCGUAAUUUGUCCUUGUGAGCCCUGCACCAACCCCAUCUUCUUGGAUUCAUUGUUUAUUUUCUAGGUUUUUGUAGCAAGCCUCCAGUAAAAAAUAAAUCUCUUCUGUUUAUUUUAUGCUAACAGUUUUUCAUGGUUACUUUAUCAAUACACUGUUGUGAAAUGACUAAUGUAACAAACUCCUCAAACUAUAUCUGGGAUUAUGAAUAUUAUUAUGACUAUUUGGAUCCCGUUGCGGUGGACGAAAGACAACUUAAAGCUAAUAAGUACUCCAUUGUUAUAGCAUUCUGGGUUGGUCUGUCUGCCUUUGUGGGGUUUAUUUUGCUUAUGCUGAUGCACAUGUCUCGAUCCAGCACAGCACCGAUGCAGAAUCGGAGUACAAGGACGUUUUCAUGGAAACAAUGUUUAUUUGUAAACCAGGAGGUAAACCACCAGCCUUCUCAGCAAGUUCUAUCAGU